AGAAUAAUAAACUAAUAAAGUUACUAGGUUCAUACCCUGUUUAUGGAAUCACUUCCUUAUUCUA
rnacentral:tRNA from 1 species